rnacentral:ncRNA from 1 species
GGUUUGGUCCUGACUUUACUGUAAGCUUUAAUCCAAUUUAUACAUGCAAGUAUCCGCACCCCCGUGAAAAUGCCCUCAAUCCCCUGCCCGAGGAAGAGGAGCUGGUAUCAGGCACAAGCCCAAGACGCCUUGCUUAGCCACACCCCUAAGGGAAUUCAGCAGUAAUAAACAUUAAGCUAUAAGUGUAAACUUGACUUAGUUAAGAUUAAGAGGGUCGGUAAAAUCCGUGCCAGCCACCGCGGUUAUACGAAAGACCCCAGUUUAUAGAUACGGCGUAAAGGGUGGUUAAGGAAGAAACCAAAAUAAUGCCAAAGCCUCUCCAAGCAGUUAUACGCUCUACGAGAUAAUGAAGCCCAAAUACGAAGGUUGCCUUAACAAAAUUCUACCUGACCCCACGAAAGCUGAAUUAAAAACUGGGAUUAGAUACCCCACUAUGCUUAGCCUUAAACCUAGAUGUAAAAUUACAAAAACAUCCGCCAGGGGACUACAAGCCUAGCUUAAAACCCAAAGGACUUGGCGGUGCCUCAGAUCCCCCUAGAGGAGCCUGUUCUAGAACCGAUAACCCCCGUUAAACCUCACCACCCCUUGCCCUUCCCGCCUAUAUACCGCCGUCGUCAGCUUACCCUAUGAAGGUCUAAUAGUAAGCAAAAUGAGUUAAACCCAAAACGUCAGGUCGAGGUGUAGCGAAUGAGGUGGUAAGAAAUGGGCUACAUUUUCUACCACAGAAUAUUACGAAUAGUGCCCUGAAAACAGCACUUGAAGGAGGAUUUAGCAGUAAAAAGCAAGCAGAGCGUGCUUUUGAAUUAGGCUCUGAGGCGCGCACACACCGCCCGUCACUCUCCCCCACCAAUAAAAACCUAUUUCUUAAUGCCUAAAAAAAUAUACGGGGAGGCAAGUCGUAACAUGGUAAGUGUACCGGAAGGUGUACUUGGAACAAUU